UUACUGCACCCGUCCACCACCACCACCACCUCACUCACCGCCACCACCACCACCACAAUUUUCUCCUCCACCCCCUGAACCUUACUACUAUAGCUCACCUCCACCACCACAUUACUCUCCGCCACCACCACCGCAUUCACCUCCGCCACCAAUUUAUCCAUAUCUGUCUCCACCGCCUCCACCAACACCAACUUACUCUCCACCACCCACUCCGGUCUAUUCCCCUCCUCCCCCACCUCCUUGUAUUGAACCACCACCACCACCUCCUCCACCGUGCAUAGAAUACUCAUCACCUCCUCCACCGGUCGUUCAUUACAGCUCUCCUCCUCCACCACCAGUCUAUUACAACUCCCCUCCUCCACCGGUCACUCAUUACAGCUCUCCUCCACCACCACCAGUCUAUUACAGCUCUCCCCCACCACCACCGGUAUAUUACAGCUCACCACCACCACCACCACCGGAAGUCCAUUACAGUUCUCCACCGCCACCUCUAGUACACUACAGCUCUCCACCACCGCCACCAUCACCUCCAUGUGAAGAAUCUCCUCCACCAGCACCGGUUGUUCACAACAGCCCUCCACCGCCGGUGAUCCACCAAAGCCCACCACCACCAUCUCCUGAAUAUGAAGGACCACUACCACCGGUCAUCGGAGUAUCAUACGCCUCUCCUCCACCACCGCCGUUCUAUUGAUUCUUUUGAGAAGCCGAAAACAGAAACAAUGACGUGGCACCCGAACAUUAAAAACACAAAUACGACGUCGUUGAUCAAUUCUUUUACACAGCACACGCCAAUAGAUUCUUUUAGAAAAAAAUUAUUUUGUGAAAAAUAAAAUAAAAUGAAAAAAAGUGAAAUGUCUAAUAACAAAAAAAAAGGGUGUUUGUAUAGAGUAUUUUAUUUGCGUUUUCUAUUAAUUUUAUUUGGAUAAUCAUAGAUUUUGUAUUUGAUAUAUGAGAGAAGACCUCUUAGGGUAUACAAUUAUUUUUUUUGGUUCCAUUAUCAAUAAUUCUAUUUCCUUAUUUUGCUUUCAAAAAGCUAAAUUUUCCAUAUUGAUGUAAACAAAGCAAAAAUGCUUAUAGAUUUUAAGAUUUGGGUC
rnacentral:lncRNA from 1 species